CCUACGGGCGGCAGCAGUGGGGAAUAUUGCGCAAUGGGCGAAAGCCUGACGCAGCGACGCCGCGUGAGGGAUGAAGGUCUUCGGAUCGUAAACCUCUGUCAGCAGGGAAGAACGGUCACUGUGCUAAUCAGCAGUGAAUUGACGGUACCUGCAAAGGAAGCACCGGCUAACUCCGUGCCAGCAGCCGCGGUAAUACGGAGGGUGCGAGCGUUAAUCGGAAGUACUGGGCGUAAAGCGCUCGUAGGAGGGAUGUCAAGUCAAGGGUGAAAUCCCCGCGCUCAACGUGGGAACUGCCUUUGAAACUGGCAAACGUGAGUGUGUGAGAGGAUAGUGGAAUUCCAGGUGUAGGAGUGAAAUCCGUAGAUAUCUGGAGGAACAUCAGUGGCGAAGGCGACUAUCUGGCACAUAACUGACGCUGAGGAGCGAAAGCGUGGGUAGCAAACAGGAUUAGAUACCCGAGUAGUC
rnacentral:rRNA from 1 species